rnacentral:lncRNA from 1 species
AAGGUCUUGAAGAGCUAUAAUAUGGAAUAAACUUUGCAAAAAUUCUGAUGUCAAGAGGUUUCCACUUCAGUUAAUAAAAUUAAAAGGAUCAAAAAGGGCUCUGAGAAAUCUACAAACCAGACUGGAAAACAUGUUUCUACUCUGGAUGACACACACUCAAUGGAAGCUUCAUGACUAAGAAACAUAUUCUCAACAGAAAAAAAGACAUCUGCUUAGUUUGGAUUCGUUUGGGAAUUUCUCCUUGGUACAGCUAUGGCAGUCUGGAGAUUGGCCAGAGGGAAAACGACAACUACAGGAGAUACAAACACUUUCUGCUAAAACAUAUAAACGUCAUGUCACAGCCCUCCACAGAAAAGCAGAAUGGACAGAAUAGCAACACUCACACAGAAAGCA